rnacentral:rRNA from 1 species
CGAAUGGGGCAACCCAACUCUUCUGAGUUAUUGCUAACUGAAUAAAUAGGUUAGUAAAGCGAACCCGGCGAACUGAAACAUCUAAGUAGCCGGAGGAAAGGAUAUCAACCGAUACUCCGUAAGUAGUGGCGAGCGAAAGCGGAUCAGGCCAAUGGUUUUAAUUGUACAACCAAAAUUAUCUGGAAAGAUAAACCGUAGAGAGUGAUAGUCUCGUAUGGCGUAAUGACAGUUAAAAUCUUCGAGUAAGACGGGACACGUGAAAUCUUGUCUGAAUAUGGGGGGACCACCCUCCAAGCCUAAGUACUCG